AGACUUGCUUGGAAACCUGCCUGCUAUCCCCUGAAAGCCUUAUUAUUUAACCAAUCAACAGCCAAUUCCAUUGAAUUGGUGUGCUUCUAUUCUACUCAAAAAGACUUCAAAAACCACAAGAAAGGAAAACAAGAAAAUAUACACAUAUUUGCUCAUUUGUGAAAGAAUAAACCAGAAACUAAUGUGACUGGUGACUUGAGUAAAAACAGGGUGGAAAAAUGGGAGAAUGGAAAUAGGAUACAAUCGCAAGUGGGGUGCCUGACUUAAGCUUUGAUAUUCAAGGCAUCCAUUUCAAAGAGGCAACCACUUCAAAGAGGGCUGUCUGGAAUAAGCACAAUGCCAGCCACAGGACUAGAUCAAGAGCCAGGUCUCCUCCCCACCUGCUCAGCCCCUUUCCUUUAGCGAUAUUGGUAGAUUUCCAUAACUGGCCAUUUGGGCUGCUUCUUUUUUCUCUUCGCACACUUCAAAUUCCUGCUCCUCUUUUAAAUUCACCAAUAAAGAGUGAACCCUUGAAACUCUAACCCCCACCCUCAACUCCAAUAAAAGCAGAACCCCAGCUCCAUGAGUUCUCUCCACAACCCUGCUGUACGGCCCCCCAGGUGUCCCAUGUGAUUUUGAGGACCCUUGAGUAAUAGACAUUUUAUCCCCCAAGGUUUCCUGAUGGUUGUUGCUGAGAGUGUCUUGCAAUCAUAAUAAGAACCACAAGGACUGGCCCAGUCACAACAUAUAGUAUAAUAUAUAGUACAUUAUAUAUUCUACACUUAGGAUAUACGCCGAAGUGAUACUAGUGAUUAUCCCAGUGAAUGGGAAGGGUAGCCAGAGAAUGGAGGAAGAACUUCCACUUUCUAUCAUAUUAGCUCUGUUUUCUUGAAUUUUUUUCAAUGAGCAAAUGCACACCUUUUAUAGUUUUUAAACAAAAAGAGGAGAAAAAACUCAUAAUUUCUAGGUGUUGUGACAAUACUUUGCCAAUAUCUAGUCUACUUGUGUUGUUUGAGGAGAAAAUUGUGCAAGUGAAUGCUUAGCAUCCAAAGUCCAAAAUAAAGAACGAAUGUAAGAAUUUCAAAAAAACAGAGGUUUCUUCUUGACCUUGAUCCAACUGCCUAAAGAAAGAAAAAUCAUACUAAUUGCUUUCCUGACACAUUUGACUUGAUCCCAUCUUAGCAGAACACUGGUAAUACCACUUCCUCUGAGUGUACCAUCUCUAACAGUUGCCUUCAGCAGUGACUUUGAAAUAAAUUUUAAUACAAGAGACCCACUUCCUCCAUGCUAAUUUGGUUUCAUAAGGGACAGAGGAGACAAGUA